GCAGGCGCGUCGUUAGCAAUUGAAAACAUCCGGGGCUUAAGCCCGGGGGGGAGCACCAUCCUGACUACUUCGUGCUACGGUAUCUUAAUUGAUGAAUUAAUUAAUUGAUUAAUUAAUUAAGGGCGCCCCCAACACAUAGGUCGCCUAUCAGCACCAUCAGCAAAAAAGAGACAUUAGAAUAGCCUAUAUAGCCUGCAUGCACCUACCCGAUGUCAAGAAGCCAUCGCUGCUCCGACGGACCUUUUUCCCCCAGCCAGGCAACGAGAUCCGGGGCUGAUCCCAAAAGAUCCGGGGCUAUAGCCCCGAAUGCCCAGGUCUAACGACGCGCCUGCUCC
ensembl:lncRNA